rnacentral:rRNA from 1 species
UAUCAUUAACUGAAUCCAUAGGUUAAUGAGGCGAACCGGGGGAACUGAAACAUCUAAGUACCCCGAGGAAAAGAAAUCAACCGAGAUUCCCCCAGUAGCGGCGAGCGAACGGGGAGGAGCCCAGAGCCUGAAUCAGCAUGUGUGUUAGUGGAAGCGUCUGGAAAGGCGCGCGAUACAGGGUGACAGCCCCGUACACAAAAGCGCAUGUGCUGUGAGCUCGAUGAGUAGGGCGGGACACGUGGUAUCCUGUCUGAAUAUGGGGGGACCAUCCUCCAAGGCUAAAUACUCCUGACUGACCGAUAGUGAACCAGUACCGUGAGGGAAAGGCGAAAAGAACCCCGGCGAGGGGAGUGAAAAAGAACCUGAAACCGUGUACGUACAAGCAGUGGGAGCACAGGUUUACCUGUGUGACUGCGUACCUUUUGUAUAAUGGGUCAGCGACUUAUAUUCUGUAGCAAGGUUAACCGAAUAGGGGAGCCGGAGGGAAACCGAGUCUUAAUUGGGCGUUAAGUUGCAGGGUAUAGACCCGAAACCCGGUGAUCUAGCCAUGGGCAGGUUGAAGGUUGGGUAACACUAACUGGAGGACCGAACCGACUAAUGUUGAAAAAUUAGCGGAUGACCUGUGGCUGGGGGUGAAAGGCCAAUCAAACCGGGAGAUAGCUGGUUCUCCCCGAAAGCUAUUUAGGUAGCGCCUCGUGAAUUCAUCUCCGGGGGUAGAGCACUGUUUCGGCUAGGGGGCCAUCCCGGCUUACCAACCCGAUGCAAACUGCGAAUACCGGAGAAUGUUAUCACGGGAGACACACGGCGGGUGCUAACGUCCGUCGUGAAGAGGGAAACAACCCAGACCGCCAGCUAAGGUCCCAAAGUCAUGGUUAAGUGGGAAACGAUGUGGGAAGGCCCAGACAGCCAGGAUGUUGGCUUAGAAGCAGCCAUCAUUUAAAGAAAGCGUAAUAGCUCACUGGUCGAGUCGGCCUGCGCGGAAGAUGUAACGGGGCUAAACCAU